rnacentral:rRNA from 1 species
AGUGAACGCUGGCGGUAGGCCUAACACAUGCAAGUCGAACGGCAGCACAGUAAGAGCUUGCUCUUACGGGUGGCGAGUGGCGGACGGGUGGGGAAUACAUCGGAAUCUACUUUUUCGUGGGGGAUAACGUAGGGAAACUUACGCUAAUACCGCAUACGACUUACGGGUGAAAGCAGGGGAUCUUCGGACCUUGCGCGAUUGAAUGAGCCGAUGUCGGAUUAGCUAGUUGGCGGGGUAAAGGCCCACCAAGGCGACGAUCCGUAGCUGGUCUGAGAGGAUGAUCAGCCACACUGGAACUGAGACACGGUCCAGACUCCUACGGGAGGCAGCAGUGGGGAAUAUUGGACAAUGGGCGCAAGCCUGAUCCAGCCAUACCGCGUGGGUGAAGAAGGCCUUCGGGUUGUAAAGCCCUUUUGUUGGGAAAGAAAAGCAGCAGGUUAAUACCCCGCUGUUCUGACGGUACCCAAAGAAUAAGCACCGGCUAACUUCGUG